rnacentral:tRNA from 1 species
ACUUAAGUAGUUUAAUUUAGAAUAACAAUUUGUGGUGUUGUUGGUGCAUAUUUUGCCUUGGGUU